AAAGUCGUAACAAGGUCUCUGUAGGUGAACCUGCAGAAGGAUCAUUAGUGAAGGUUUGGGCAGGCCCAUAAGGACGCCAAAAAGUGUCCCUGGCCGCCUACACCCACUAUACAUCCACAAACCCGUGUGCACUGGUCUUGGAGAAAGGCUUCCAGAGAGGUUUUUUGUGGCCUCUCUUGGAGUCUUUUCUUCGCUACAAACUCGAAUGGUUAGUAUGAACGUGGAACUUGGUUGGACCGUCACUGGCCAACAAACUAUACACAA
rnacentral:misc_RNA from 1 species